rfam:Laetiporus sulphureus 93-53 unplaced genomic scaffold LAESTscaffold_25, whole genome shotgun sequence.
GCCCCCGUUGUCUAAUGGCUAUGACGUCAGACUUCUAAGGCUGUGGUACCUUAUCUGGAGGUUGCGGGUUCGAGUCCCGCCGGGGGUA